AGCGAACGCUGGCGGCAGGCCUAACACAUGCAAGUCGAACGAAGCCUUCGGGCUUAGUGGCGGACGGGUGAGUAACACGUGGGAACGUACCUUUUGGUUCGGAACAACUCAGGGAAACUUGAGCUAAUACCGGAUGAGCCCUUAGGGGGAAAGAUUUAUCGCCGAAAGAGCGGCCCGCGUUAGAUUAGCUAGUUGGUGAGGUAAAGGCUCACCAAGGCUACGAUCUAUAGCUGGUCUGAGAGGAUGAUCAGCCACACUGGGACUGAGACACGGCCCAGACUCCUACGGGAGGCAGCAGUGGGGAAUCUUGCGCAAUGGGCGAAAGCCUGACGCAGCCAUGCCGCGUGAAUGAUGAAGGUCUUAGGAUUGUAAAAUUCUUUUACCAGGGACGAUAAUGCCGGUACCUGGAGAAAAAGCCCCGGCUAACUUCGUGCCAGCCGCCGCGGUAAGAC
rnacentral:rRNA from 1 species